rnacentral:rRNA from 1 species
GAUGAACGCUGGCGGCGUGCUUAACACAUGCAAGUCGAACGGAAAGGCCCAAGCUUGCUUGGGUACUCGAGUGGCGAACGGGUGAGUAACACGUGGGUGAUCUGCCCUGCACUUCGGGAUAAGCCUGGGAAACUGGGUCUAAUACCGGAUAGGACCACAUUUUGGAUGGUGUGGUGGAAAGUUUUUCGGUGUGGGAUGAGCUCGCGGCCUAUCAGCUUGUUGGUGGGGUAAUGGCCUACCAAGGCGUCGACGGGUAGCCGGCCUGAGAGGGUGUACGGCCACCUUGGGACUGAGAUAAGGCCCAGACUCCUACGGGAGGCAGCAGUGGGGAAUAUUGCACAAUGGGCGCAAGCCUGAUGCAGCGACGCCGCGUGGGGGAUGACGGCCUUCGGGUUGAAAACUCCGUUCGCUAGGGACGAAGCGUUAUGUGACGGUACCUGGAGAAGAAGCACCGGCUAACUACGUG